rnacentral:misc_RNA from 1 species
GUAGGUGAACCUGCGGAAGGAUCAUUAACUACGGUGCGUAAUCACCGGUAACUAAACUACCAAACAAACCCGUGGUCCUAUAUUGCACGAAUUUGUCCUUUACUAUAGAUGGAAACACUAUUCGAUCACUUAAUGGAAUGGGUGGGAUCUUAAAACAAUCCCUGGUCGAGUUUUCAUUAUUAUAGUAUGUUAGUUUUGGCAUUAAUUCGUGGGUAAAUAAUACCAUUUCAUUUUUUUUAUCUUUGUUCCAUAUUUUACUAAUUACUAAUUUGAUGUCGUGUAAUGCGGUCGAAAGACGGUUGCACGUAAAAUCUUUAAAACCGAACAACUUUCAGCAGUGGAUGUCUCGGCUUUC